CUCCGCUUGGUGUAGUUGGUUUGUAAGUUGAAUGUCCCAAUUGGAUUGUCAUCAGCCUCUAACAUUGUUUAGAUCACGUUCGGCUGUAACUGUUCAUUGCCACCGAAAGGUCCCUAGUUCGAUUCUGGGAGCGGAGA